GAUAAACAAAUCGGAUUCUUGGAGCUGCUCUGAAUUCUGAGGAUGAAUUUUGACUUCUUGAAACUUAUGGUCAAAACGGAUCCUUGGGUUGGGUGGGUAUGGUCCAACUCCAAACGACGUCGUAGCCUGCCGUUAGGAGAAACGUUAUUUUGAUUUGGUGGUAAACUUUUGUUGGAAUCUACAUUUCUUAAUUUGGCGGUUUAGUAUAGCAUAUUGUAGAUGUUACGCUCAAUUCAGUGUCGCCGAAUUGUUAGGCUUUUUUGGUGUAAUUUUACAUAUUUUUGUGAUUAAAUUUAGCAUAAAUAUUAGGUUAUAAGAUUAAAGUUUACCAAAGAAAAACAACUAUAAGAUAUGACGAUGCUGUUUUGCUUUUGUAGGAAUUACGAUGGAGAUUGGUGGCAUCAUGACUUAUGGGUUAAUAAUUAUAUAUUGAGUGAUUUGUAAAUUUCACACCUCUUUGUCAGUUGUACCCAAUUUGUGGGUUGGAAAAAAGCACAUUUCUUUAGGCAAGUAAAGCCAAACUCAUAACCAAACUAUCCCAAUACUUCUAUUUCAAAUUUUAAUGCUAGAUUUGUCCAUUUCCCUUUCUUGUCUAUUUAUACCUAAAUUAUUAAAGUUUUGUUUUUGUUUCUUAUAUUAAUUGAUUUAUAAUUAUCCGCG
rnacentral:lncRNA from 1 species